rnacentral:rRNA from 1 species
AUACAGAGGGUGUGAGCGUUAAUCGGAAUUACUGGGCGUAAAGCGCGCGUAGGCGGCUUAUUAAGUCAGAUGUGAAAUCCCCGGGCUCAACCUGGGAACUGCAUCUGAUACUGGGUAGCUAGAGUUUAGGAGAGGGAAGUAGAAUUUCAGGUGUAGCGGUGAAAUGCAUAGAGAUCAGAAGGAAUACCAGUGGCGAAGGCGGCUUCCUGGCCUAAAACUGACGCUGAGGUGCGAAAGCGUGGGUAGCAAACGGGAUUAGAAACCCCAGUAGUCC